CCUUAUUUUCUCCAGGUGCAUUCUGGGUUAAGCUUGUCACCAACGUCAUCAUCAGUCACUUGGCAACAAAUAGCAAACUAGCUAGAGCUACGGAACUUUAACAUGUUUUGAAUUUGUGUUGUUUCAUCAUUAGUGACCAGUAGCCUCUUGUUUCUGUUCUUCUCUUGGUUUAUUGUACUUCAUGUCAGAUGGACUUCAAAAUGGCAUAGUCGCUCUCUGUGGUGGUGAAACUUGUUAGCUCCGCUGUUGCGGGCAUGUCCAUGUUGUAAGGUUAAAUUAUCAUGAGCUUUAUUCUUUGGGCCCGGUCAUUAGCCCCGCCCCCCGGCCCACGCCGUCUUGUUCCGCUACUGCGUCACAUGUUUGCCUGAGGAGCGGAGGCAGCAGUAUGGCGUCUUGUCUGGAGCUUAUUAUAACAAGUGUCAUGUUGGUGAUUGAAUCCUGUUAUGAAGACUUCAACACAUUUCUUCAGACAGGUGGGCAGAGUAAUUUGAAUGACUAUGACUGUGACACACACAGGCUGGAAGUCUUCCUCCUUCAUAUUGGUGAAAACAAGAGCAGCACCAAAGACACUUCACUAUCGGUGACCACAAGAC